rnacentral:rRNA from 1 species
GGGAUAUUGGACAAUGGGGGGAACCCUGAUCCAGCGACGCCGCGUGAGCGAAGAAGUAUUUCGGUAUGUAACGCUCUGUCAGCAGGGAAGAAAUCAUGACGGUACCUGACCAAGAAGCCCCGGCUAACUACGUGCCAGCAGCCGUGGUAAUACGUAGGGGGCAAGCGUUAUCCGGAAUUACUGGGUGUAAAGGGAGCGUAGACGGCAGCGCAAGUCUGGAGUGAAAUGCCGGGGCCCAACCCCGGAACUGCUUUGCAAACUGUGCGGCUCGAGUGCGGGAGAGGUAGGCGGAAUUCCUAGUGUAGCGGUGAAAUGCGUAGAUAUUAGGAGGAACACCAGUGGCGAAGGCGGCUUACUGGACCGUAACUGACGUUGAGGCUCGAAAGCGUGGGGAGCAAAC